GUAGGUGGCAAGCGUUGUCCGGAAUUAUUGGGCGUAAAGCGCGCGCAGGCGGUUCUUUAAGUCUGAUGUGAAAGCCCACGGCUCAACCGUGGAGGGUCAUUGGAAACUGGAGAACUUGAGUACAGAAGAGGAAAGCGGAAUUCCACGUGUAGCGGUGAAAUGCGUAGAGAUGUGGAGGAACACCAGUGGCGAAGGCGGCUUUCUGGUCUGUAACUGACGCUGAGGCGCGAAAGCGUGGGGAGCAAACAGGGAUUAGAUACCCUGGUAGUCCACGCCGUAAACGAUGAGUGCUAAGUGUUAGGGGGUUUCCCGCCCCUUAGUGCUGCAGCUAACGCAUUAAGCACUCCGCCUGGGGAGUACGACCCGCAAGGUUG
rnacentral:rRNA from 1 species